AAUGACGGUAGAGGUGCGGACUUCAAGAGUAGCGCGUCAGAGGAAAAUGGAUUCCUUUGAAGACGCGUGAAAGGGGAGCGCCGCCGAAGCAAAGAAAGAGCCAUUUCUUCUCUUUGCUGGUUUUGCGUUUAAGAGACGCAGGAUUGUCAAGAAGAUGUUUUUCUUGGAGCGCUAUCUCAUUG
rnacentral:ncRNA from 2 species